AUGAACGCUAGCUACAGGCUUAACACAUGCAAGUCGAGGGGCAGCAUGGUCUUAGCUUGCUAAGGCCGAUGGCGACCGGCGCACGGGUGAGUAACACGUAUCCAACCUGCCGUCUACUCUUGGACAGCCUUCUGAAAGGAAGAUUAAUACAAGAUGGCAUCAUGAGUCCGCAUGUUCACAUGAUUAAAGGUAUUCCGGUAGACGAUGGGGAUGCGUUCCAUUAGAUAGUAGGCGGGGUAACGGCCCACCUAGUCUUCGAUGGAUAGGGGUUCUGAGAGGAAGGUCCCCCACAUUGGAACUGAGACACGGUCCAAACUCCUACGGGAGGCAGCAGUGAGGAAUAUUGGUCAAUGGGCGAGAGCCUGAACCAGCCAAGUAGCGUGAAGGAUGACUGCCCUAUGGGUUGUAAACUUCUUUUAUAAAGGAAUAAAGUCGGGUAUGGAUACCCGUUUGCAUGUACUUUAUGAAUAAGGAUCGGCUAACUCCGUGCCAGCAGCCGCGGUAAUACGGAGGAUCCGAGCGUUAUCCGGAUUUAUUGGGUUUAAAGGGAGCGUAGAUGGAUGUUUAAGUCAGUUGUGAAAGUUUGCGGCUCAACCGUAAAAUUGCAGUUGAUACUGGAUAUCUUGAGUGCAGUUGAGGCAGGCGGAAUUCGUGGUGUAGCGGUGAAAUGCUUAGAUAUCACGAAGAACUCCGAUUGCGAAGGCAGCCUGCUAAGCUGCAACUGACAUUGAGGCUCGAAAGUGUGGGUAUCAAACAGGAUUAGAUACCCUGGUAGUCCACACCGUAAACGAUGGAUACUAGGUGUAGGUUGUGAUAAACAAUCUGUGCCGUCGCAAACGCAAUAAGUAUCCCACCUGGGGAGUACGGCCGCAAGGUUGAAACUCAAAGGAAUUGACGGGGGCCCGCACAAGCGGAGGAACAUGUGGUUUAAUUCGAUGAUACGCGAGGAACCUUAACCGGGCUUAAAUUGCAGAUGAAUUACGGUGAAAGCCGUAAGCCGCAAGGCAUCUGUGAAGGUGCUGCAUGGUUGUCGUCAGCUCGUGCCGUGAGGUGUCGGCUUAAGUGCCAUAACGAGCGCAACCCUUGUUGUCAGUUACUAACAGGUUCCGCUGAGGACUCUGACAAGACUGCCAUCGUAAGAUGUGAGGAAGGUGGGGAUGACGUCAAAUCAGCACGGCCCUUACGUCCGGGGCUACACACGUGUUACAAUGGGGGGUACAGAGGGCCGCUACCACGCGAGUGGAUGCCAAUCCCCAAAACCUCUCUCAGUUCGGACUGGAGUCUGCAACCCGACUCCACGAAGCUGGAUUCGCUAGUAAUCGCGCAUCAGCCACGGCGCGGUGAAUACGUUCCCGGGCCUUGUACACACCGCCCGUCAAGCCAUGGGAGCCGGGGGUACCUGAAGUGCGUAACCGCGAGGAGCGCCCUAGGGUAAAACUGGUGACUGGGGCU
rnacentral:rRNA from 1 species